rnacentral:rRNA from 1 species
GACGAACGCUGGCGGCGUGCUUAAUACAUGCAAGUCGAACGGAAAGGCCCUGCUUUUGUGGGGUGCUCGAGUGGCGAACGGGUGAGUAACACGUGAGUAACCUGCCCUUGACUUUGGGAUAACUUCAGGAAACUGGGGCUAAUACCGGAUAGGAGCUCCUGCUGCAUGGUGGGGGUUGGAAAGUUUCGGCGGUUGGGGAUGGACUCGCGGCUUAUCAGCUUGUUGGUGUGGUAGUGGCUUACCAAGGCUUUGACGGGUAGCCGGCCUGAGAGGGUGACCGGCCACAUUGGGACUGAGAUACGGCCCAGACUCCUACGGGAGGCAGCAGUGGGGAAUAUUGCACAAUGGGCGGAAGCCUGAUGCAGCAACGCCGCGUGCGGGAUGACGGCCUUCGGGUUGUAAACCGCUUUCGCCUGUGACGAAGCGUGAGUGACGGUAAUGGGUAAAGAAGCACCGGCUAACUACGUG